UGUCGACUCCCUCCGUCCCAAAAUUCAUGUCUUAGAUUUGUCUAGAUACGGAUGUAUCUAACACUAAAACGUAACUAGAUACAUUCGUAUUUAGACAAAUCUAAGACAAGAAUUUUGGGACGGAGGGAGUACUAC
rfam:Triticum aestivum genome assembly, contig: Triticum_aestivum_CS42_TGACv1_scaffold_343227_4DL